rnacentral:tRNA from 1 species
GGGCCCGUAGCACAGCUUGGAUAGUGCGGCAGGCUUCGGACCUGCAGGUCGUGGGUUCGAAUCCCACCGGGCUCG